UACUAAGAAGUCAUGUUGUUCCUUGAACC
rnacentral:piRNA from 1 species